UGAGACCGAUGCGCGAUUCCCGUCCUCCCUUGUGGCUUGCUGCGGGGGAUCAAGGUCGGCGCGCUCCGCUUUGGUGACUCUGGAUAACUCACUGGUCGAUCGCACGGGCUUCACGCCCGGCGACGGGU
rnacentral:rRNA from 1 species